rnacentral:tRNA from 2 species
GGGGAUAUAGCUCAGUGGUAGAGCGCUCGCUUCGCAUGUGAGAGGCCACGGGUUCAAUCCCCGUUAUCUCCA